GGCUCAGAUUGAACGCUGGCGGCAGGCCUAACACAUGCAAGUCGAACGGUAGCACAGAGAGCUUGCUCUCGGGUGACGAGUGGCGGACGGGUGAGUAAUGUCUGGGAAACUGCCUGAUGGAGGGGGAUAACUACUGGAAACGGUAGCUAAUACCGCAUAACGUCGCAAGACCAAAGAGGGGGACCUUCGGGCCUCUUGCCAUCAGAUGUGCCCAGAUGGGAUUAGCUAGUAGGUGGGGUAACGGCUCACCUAGGCGACGAUCCCUAGCUGGUCUGAGAGGAUGACCAGCCACACUGGAACUGAGACACGGUCCAGACUCCUACGGGAGGCAGCAGUGGGGAAUAUUGCACAAUGGGCGCAAGCCUGAUGCAGCCAUGCCGCGUGUAUGAAGAAGGCCUUCGGGUUGUAAAGUACUUUCAGCGGGGAGGAAGGUGUUGUGGUUAAUAACCACAGCAAUUGACGUUACCCGCAGAAGAAGCACCGGCUAACUCCGUGCCAGCAGCCGCGGUAAUACGGAGGGUGCAAGCGUUAAUCGGAAUUACUGGGCGUAAAGCGCACGCAGGCGGUCUGUCAAGUCGGAUGUGAAAUCCCCGGGCUCAACCUGGGAACUGCAUUCGAAACUGGCAGGCUAGAGUCUUGUAGAGGGGGGUAGAAUUCCAGGUGUAGCGGUGAAAUGCGUAGAGAUCUGGAGGAAUACCGGUGGCGAAGGCGGCCCCCUGGACAAAGACUGACGCUCAGGUGCGAAAGCGUGGGGAGCAAACAGGAUUAGAUACCCUGGUAGUCCACGCAACGUAAGACUGCGAUGUCGAUUUGGAGGUUGUGCCCUUGAGGCGUGGCUUCCGGAGCUAACGCGUUAAAUCGACCGCCUGGGGAGUACGGCCGCAAUUGUUAAAACUCAAAUGAAUUGACGGGGGCCCGCACAAGCGGUGGAGCAUGUGGUUUAAUUCGAUGCAACGCGAAGAACCUUACCUGGUCUUGACAUCCACAGAACUUAGCAGAGAUGCUUUGGUGCCUUCGGGAACUGUGAGACAGGUGCUGCAUGGCUGUCGUCAGCUCGUGUUGUGAAAUGUUGGGUUAAGUCCCGCAACGAGCGCAACCCUUAUCCUUUGUUGCCAGCGGUUAGGCCGGGAACUCAAAGGAGACUGCCAGUGAUAAACUGGAGGAAGGUGGGGAUGACGUCAAGUCAUCAUGGCCCUUACGACCAGGGCUACACACGUGCUACAAUGGCGCAUACAAAGAGAAGCGACCUCGCGAGAGCAAGCGGACCUCAUAAAGUGCGUCGUAGUCCGGAUUGGAGUCUGCAACUCGACUCCAUGAAGUCGGAAUCGCUAGUAAUCGUAGAUCAGAAUGCUACGGUGAAUACGUUCCCGGGCCUUGUACACACCGCCCGUCACACCAUGGGAGUGGGUUGCAAAAGAAGUAGGUAGCUUAACCUUCGGGAGGGCGCUUACCACUUUGUGAUUCAUGACUGGGGUGAAGUCGUAACAGGGAAACCCGUAA
rnacentral:rRNA from 1 species